GGCCACCCCGAGGCAUUCUGGGGCCCCAAAUUCGGAGGGUGUUGAUGGAGGCAUGCAGGCCUUGUUUGGAUUGGCACUGGAGAACUUUAUUUUGAAAGCCUCUGGAGCCUACCUGGGAUGACUGCCAGCAACUCCUACAAACUCUUUUUACCUCAGAAAAAAGGGACCAUAUCCUCCAGGAGGCAAUUAGAGCCACCCUGGGACCUGGUGGUGAUGCUGCCCCUGACCAUGCCCAAUGCCUGGAGGCUGUCAUGCCAGCAAAGCAUCCGAAUUGGGACCACAACACAAAGGAGGGUUUGGACAGAAACAAACCUGCCUGGACUGGCGGCACACCAACCUCCUGCUGUGGCCACCCUUCUGGCAGCAGCAACCCCCAUCGCCAUCAAACAAUACCCCAUCAAGACAGCUGCCAGAGGAAAAAAAUGAGGAUUCAUUUGUGAAAACUCCUGGGUGCUGGAAUCCUGAGACCAUGUAAGUCCCCCUGGAAUACUCCACUUCUUCCAGUAUUAAAACCAGGCACAGGAGACUAUCGCCCAGUCCAGGACUUACGUGAAAUAAACAAGAGGGUAGAGACUGUUCACCCAACUGUCCCAAAUCCCUAUACACUGCUGAUCCUCAUGCCACCAGAACACAAGGUAUAUACUGUAUUGGAUCUCAAGGAUGCUUUCUUCAGCAUUCCCCUGGCACCGGUGCCACGUAUGUGCCAAGGUAAACCCCGCAACAAGGCCCAGAAACACUGGGACUCGGUUUAGGGGGACCCGACCAGGAGAACACUGGAAACUGGACUUCACUGAGAUAAAGUCUCUACAAGCCUUACAAGAGAUUCAGCUUGAGAACCAUCACCACGUACAGGCCACCAGAGGACAACAGCCUUUCCCGCCCCACCAGUUCAAACCAGGGGAUCUUGUCUUGGUUCACCAACAUCACUCACGCCAAGCCAGCACCACCAGAGGAUGACCCACUUUCAACAUAGAAGGUCCUCAGCCAGCCCAGGGACCAAAAGAUAAGACUGGGAUGGGAAACAAAACUGUAAUUAUGCUAAUUCUAUGUCAAAUAAGGUUUCAGGAAAGUGAUGCAAGCAACCCCUAUGCACCGCAAACAAAAAUUUUAAAACUCAGGAUGACUACAAGCAACAGAGUGGUCAGCCAAGUUAAUAAGGGUCCCAAUACCAGCCAAGAGUCUAACUAGAGAAACAGGAGGGUACACAAUUACAAGUUGGAUGGAAUGACAUCCCGUUCAAUUCUACGUUUGUCCAGCAGAGGGCAUUUCGGAUUGUGGGAAAAAGGGAGAUUAUCACUGUGGUGCCUGGGAUUGUAAAACUACAGCCCCCUGGCAAGUCCAAGUAAAGGAUGUUUGGAUAAACAUCUCAGUUUACUAAAAAUUCUGAUGGCUUGUUAUGUGUAACAGUUUAUGUGUUCCCCCAGGUCCUGCAUUAUAAUAAAAAAGGAGGACAAGGACAUUUAGGCCCAAAUUCCAACCCCUGUGGAACCCUUUGUUCCAAAAGAGCUGCACCUGUCUUGGUCCCUAUAUUCCUUGGGUUAGAUGUGGCUGGAUCAGCAGCCAUUGGGUCUUCCUCCUUAAUAUUACAAGAUUCUAGCUUCAAAGCCCUCAGUCAUCAGGUUGCUUGAGAUCUAGGUUAUUUAGAAGAUUCAAUCUCCAGGUUAAAAAAAACAAGUAGACUCAUUAACUGAGGUAAUAUUACAAAACAGAAGGGGUUUAGAUUUACUAUCCAUAAAACAAGGUAGGCUCUGCAUAGCCUUGGGUGAAACAUGUUGUUCUUAUGCCAACCAGUCGGGGAUUAUCCAUGACACCCUAGCUAUGGCAAGAGAGGAUUUUUUUAAAAAAAUUGCAAUCAGAAAGGACAAAGCUGGUACCAAACUAUGUUCAAUUGGUCACCUUGGGCAACGACUCUAAUAUCCACCUUGGCAGGACUCUUGUUUAUCCUCCUGUUACUGCUAAUGAUAGGGCCCUGCAUCUUAAAUUCAUUAACCAAUUAUAUUAAACAACGGGUAAACUCUGUUAAACUAAUGGUAUUGAGAGGACGAUACAAUCCUCUUCCUUCAGAAAAAAUGGAGGACGAAUCAAAGAUUUGAUUAAAUGGACCAGAACUAGUGGGGAAUGUGAGACCCAACUUAGCAACUUAGCAAUACCAGCACCAUAUUGAGAACAUUCUCCUCCAUUUUGCAUAUAUGUGACUUCCAGCUGCUUUCUGUCUCCUGGGAGAAAACCCUACCCCCAACGAUAAAGAGAAACUGUGUUUCAGGUGAUGUGCAACAAACUCUUACCCAGGGGAAUGGGAGGAACUAACUGUGCUUAUCUUGGCUUCUGUAACCAGCUUUUGCAACAAUCUGUAAGUCAGGGGAAUGGGAGGAGGGACUUUUUCUGUGGUUUUUUCCCUUUAAAUAUGCAGUCCUCAUUUCAGUUGGGGCCUUUGUCCUGCAACUUGGUUGGAGUGUACAUGGGUCCUGGCCAGAAAAUAAAGCUCUCCAGUAAGAUCCCAGGACUGUGUCAUGCUUUGAG
ensembl:lncRNA